UAAAGAGAAAAAAUAUAUUUUGGGGAAAAU
rnacentral:piRNA from 1 species